GGGGAUGUGGCGAAACUGGUAGACGCACCAUCUUGAGGGGGGUGGCGGGAAACCGUGUGAGUUCGAAUCUCACCAUCCCCA
rnacentral:tRNA from 1 species